UCCCCUCGAGGUUGACGCUCGCCAUGGGUCUCGGUUAUCUCGAUGGUCCCGACCAUGAUUGUCCCGUCUCUCUCCUCCGCCUUUAGUCGGGUUCCACUUCUCUUUCCGCAACGAAUCUCUCGGUUGAUACUCGGUUAAAGACUCGGCGGCGGCAAUAGCUUCAUCGACGGAUUUGAUGUCUCGUCGGUGGAGUUCUUGCUUGGCCCAGCCUUGUAAUCCAUCGGUGAAGUGGAAA
rnacentral:lncRNA from 1 species